rnacentral:rRNA from 1 species
AUUGAACGCUGGCGGCAGGCCUAACACAUGCAAGUCGAGCGGAGCGGCGGACGGGUGAGUAAUGCCUAGGAAUCUGCCUGGUAUUGGGGGAUAACGUCCGGAAACGGGCGAUAAUACCGCAUACUAUCAGAUGAGCCUAGGUCGUAUUUGCUCGUUGGUGGGGUAAAGGCCUACCAAGGCGACGAUCCGUAACUGGUCUGAGAGGAUGAUCAUUCACACGGGAACGUAGACACGGACCAGACUCCUACGGGAGGCAGCAGUGGGGAAUAUUGGACAAUGGGCGAAAGCCUGAUCCAGCCAUGCCGCGUGUGUGAAGAAGGUCUUCGGAUUGUAAAGCACUUGAAGUUGGGAGGCGUUACCAACAGAAUAAGCACCGGCUAACUUCGUGCCAGCAGCCGCUGUAAUAC